CAACCAGCCCACUCCGAGAUGCCACUUCUGAAAAUAACCUUCAGAUCUGCUCUGAGUUCCUUCCCAUUUCCAUUGUGAUCACCUCCGGAUAUCUCAGAGACAAACUUUGACUCUGCCGAGGCUUGUGAUGACAUGAAAACUAAAAUAAGUUGCAACUGGAUUGGGGUUGUUUACAUAAAACAGAGUGACUUCAUUUCAAAAACCUCAAAGCUUAGUUAGUACUAAACCUGGAUGCCAGCCAGCGAGGAACAACAAUAUCUUGACAGGGAACCUCAUGCAUCCCACACGGGUCAUCUACAUUGUCUGGGAUCUGUGUGCAUCAGAGAUUACAACAGUGGAAAACAAAAGAAUUACGCAACACAAAGGUCUUGAUGAGAGUAAACAAGAGAAACGUGACUUGCUGCUGAAGCACUUUCCUGCCUGUAGUUGAAGCAGAGGGAUAAGAGGAGGUCCACCCUUCAAGUCUUCCCAGACAGUAACAUAAAAAUGCAACAAAUAAGCAACAGGAGUCUCAUGUACUGUUGUCCGGUGUUUCUGUUUAGUCAGUACUUUCCUUGGAGCAGAGAUAAAGGACUAAAUUGUAUGCAAUUUCAUACACAAGCAUGCUUUAUUUUUAAGCUGAUAACAUUGAUAAAGUCUUAGGUAAAUUAAAAACGUGUGGCUGAAGUCAAACCUGAUUUAUUCCAAAGGAAAAUUAACCACACCCAUGAGAAAGUUUGACUGAGAGCAAGACUGUGGGACUGGUAAAAUCAUGGUCCGUUCUGAAAGAGGUUUGAGCUCUCAUUAAAUGCCAUAGCAAUGUGGCUAGCCGAAGUAGCUCAGAGCCCUUGGCACAAGCGCCCCUCUAAGCACCUGCUCUGUGAAUGGUUCAACUUGCCAAGGCUCAGCAGGCUCCCCAGCCACAGCAACAUGUGCCCAAGGCACCCUUGCCAUCACUUU